GGGGGGUAAACCCCGGUAAUGGCUCCUUCUUCACUUUAAGGUGGCUUCAGAUGUUCCCCUGAAUGAGCAACUUCGAAACUACCUCCUACACAGCUGGGUUUUGCUCCUUGCGGAGGCCCCUGUUAGAGACACCCCUGCACAACUCCCAGGAGAUCUACUGCUUUCCUGUUUGCUUCAUUUGGUGUCCUGAGUUUGAUGUGGCUUCUGCCUGCUGGAUGCCCAUAGUUUAUCAGACCUGGGUCCUCUAGUUCUCAAUGGGCUUUAGCUCAAAAUAAUGCAUAUGCCAAAGACUCUUGCUGUGGAGUGGCACAUGCUGGUAGCCCUCAAGUUGUAAUAAAUUUUCCUCCUUUUAAUCUGCCUGUUUUGUUGAUGAAU